UUGUGGCCAUAUCACGUUGAAACACCGGUUUUCGUACGAUCACUCAAGUUAAACAACGUCAAACCUGGUCAGUACUUAGAUGGGUGUCCGCUUGAGAACACCAGGUACUGUAA